CUUAUGAAGACUUUCUGCUUGAAGAGUUUGAUUAUCAAUUUAUUCAUCAUAAGUCUAUACUAGAUUUGUAUUCUUUUCUUGGUAUGACUUUGGUCAUUACAUUUUCAUAGAAAACUGUUCAUUUUUAUGUGUGUUUUUCAGUGUAUUUUCAUGAAUUGAUUGAUAGAAUUCUCUUAAGAUUUCAGUCUUUUGGGACCGGUCCCGUGCCCAAGUGGUUAAGGUCACACGCUCUGCUGCGGUAGCCUAGGGUUUUGGUGGUUUGGAUCCUGGGUGCGGGCAUUGCACCGCUCGUCGCGCCACAUUGAGGUGGUAUCCCACAUGCCACAACUAGAAGGACCUGCAACUAAGAUAUACAACUACAUACCGGGGGGAUUUGGGGAGAUAAAGCAGCAGAAAAAAAAAAAGAUUGGCAGCAGUUGUUAGCUCAGGUGCCAAUCUUUAAAAAAAAAAAAAAGAUUUCAGUCUUUUAUCCAUAAUUUUCUUUUUUGAUCAGCUUUUAAAUUGUGUUUUAGUAUAAAGCUGCUAAUCAUAAAAGGACAAAAUGUGUUCUAGUUGGCCCAAUCUGAAACCUAGAAUUUCAGCUUCGGAGGGUCUUCAUAUUUUAUGCUGGCAGCAAACCCUAAACAUCGGGAGUAGAGGAAUGUGCCCUUGCCAUAUUUGUGUUCUCUGGCUCUGCACAGCCCCCAGUCAGCACCAUUUGCUGACAAGAGUAUCCUUUCUCCAUUGAAUUACCUUGACACCUCUGUGGGAAGUCAACCAGCAAUGUAUGUAUGGUCUGUUUCGGACUCUGUUCACUUCUUUUUUUUUUUAAUUUUGCCAUCCCUGAUGGUGCCUUUGGUGCUUCUGUUGUAGAGGGCAUCCUAGGCUGGUAGACUGGUCUUUUUUUUUUUUUAAAUUGGCAUCUGAGCUAACAACUGUUGCCAAUCUUCUUUUUUUUUUCUUCUUCUUCCUAAAUCCCCCCAGUACAUAGUUGUAUAUUCCAGUUGUAGAUCCCUCUGGGUUUGCUAUGUGGGACCCUGCCUCAGCAUGGCCUGAUGAACGCCCAGGAUCCAAACCGGCAAAACCCUGGGCUGCCAAAGCUGAGUGCACGAACUUAACCACUCAGCCACAGGGCUGGCCCCUGUUCACUUCUGAUGGUCUGUGUUAAUCCUGUUGCUAAUACCACACUGUCUUGAUGAGUGUCUCUUCAGUAAGUCUUGAAAUCAGGUAAUACAAGUCUUCCAACUUUGUUCUUUUUAAAAAUUGUUUUGGAUAUUCUAGGUCCUUUGCUUCUUUACAGAAUGUUUUAAAAAUCAGCUUUCUUAUCUCAAAAGUCGGCUGAGAUUUUGGUUUUCAUUGCACAGACUCGGAGAAUUUGUAGUGUAGAUCAAUUUGGGGAGAAAUUACAUCUUGAUCAUGAGUCUUCCAGUUCAUGAACAUGGUGUCAGUGUCAUUCAAGCACGUGCCUGUGGAGUUCCCCAGGAGGAGUGGCCGCAGGUGGAGUCUGCACAGAGGACCCUGUACAGAGACGUGGUGAAGCUGGAGAACUACAGUUGCCUUGUCUGUCCUGCUUUUCCAUAGGAACAGGAGUCUGGGAACAAGGAAAACAGUCCUAGAAGCAGAAGAAGAGUAUGGGAUCACUCAUGGACAGUGCUGCCAUCUCAUUUGGACAGGUCACUUCCUAGAUGUGCUGAGUGUGCAAAUUCUGUCUCCUUGUCUCAUCCAGUGUUUCUCUGAAUGGAAGCAAGUAUCUGGGCCCCAGGUGUGACUUGGUAUGUGACCCUAGCCUGUACAUCAGCCCCUUUGGGCCACCACCUCCCCUUGGUUGGAAGUCCUCGGGCUGUGGGUAGAUGGAAAACAUCCCAGAAUGGGAGUGACAUGCUCUGCGUUCCAUAGUACUGGCUUUGCCAUUGAUUGUGUGACUCAUUCUGAUGUUCCAACUGUGAAGAUCAAAUUUGAAGUGAUGGAUAUGUUAUAUUAAAUGUAUUAAUAAGAGCAGAAAUUAAAUCUGUUGGGUUUAAAUGCAACCUGUAGGGUUUGCUUCCUCUAUAAGCCUGGCUGUCUCUGCAGGAGCUGAAGGUUGCUUCUUUAGGCUUGUUGUCUGGGAGCUAGAGCAGAGUGGAGAGAGUGAGGUGGAGCCACGGUGAGCCAUAUUGCACCUAAUUUUUCCUCCCCUCUAAGUCUGAAUACUGGCAGUGGUGAGUCAGGUGGUUCUAAGGGCUCCUUUCACUUUACCAUUCAUGAUGACCCCACACCACCUCUCCCUCCACGCCACCUUUUUCUCCUUCUUUGGAUGCCCCAACCUCUUUGACGUUUUUCAGCUGCCACUCCACUCAGCUCUUAAGCAACUUUGACCUUGAAGACAUGGAUGUGGAUGAGAACAAGGAUCCACUUGGCACCUUUGGCCACUUUUGCUUCAGUGAACUGAGUGGGGUGUCCAAGAAGAAACCCUGGUUUUAGGAAGACGUCUAAGAAUGUUCCAAUGAUCCCCGCCUCCUGAUAGUCACACCUUUGGCAAGCUUCCAUGUUGGAGAGGCCCACAGGACAAGGAACUGAGGGUUGCCUCCAGCCAACUCCAGCCCACAGCCACCAGGAAUUGAGGAUCUCAGUCCAACAGGCCUUGAGGAGCUGCAUCCUGCCAACAGCUAUAUAAGUGAGCUCAGAACUAUGUCCUUCUCCAGUUGAGCCUUCAGAUGAGACCCCUGCCCCAGCUGAUACCUUAAUUGCAGCCUUGUGAGAGACCCUGGAGCAGGGAACCCAGGAUCUUCCCCUUGGUUGCCAUGAGCUCAUGAGCUUCAG
rnacentral:lncRNA from 1 species